rnacentral:lncRNA from 1 species
AAAAGGAUGAAAAGUCAUCAAGUUUUAAAAUGGCAGAUGGCGACGAAAACAAGUCCGAAGUUGACAAUAAAGAAGAAAAGGCAGCUGCAGAUGAGAAAGAGGAACCAGAGGAAACUGAGACUGAUGGAACUGAAACUGAAGAAAAGCCUCAAGAGGCAGAAAAUGAAGGAGGCGAACCUGAAGAACCUACUCCUCCACCAUAUACCCUUGAAACAGCCUUUGAAGAUAUUGAAC